rnacentral:ncRNA from 1 species
GCAACGGGACGACCCGUUAUCUGCCGUCAAUGCCAGCGCAGGACGACCUGC